rnacentral:tRNA from 1 species
GGAUCAUGGCUCAGUGGUAAAGUGCUCGCCUAGCACGUGUGAGGCCCUGGGUUCAAUCCUCAGCACCA